rnacentral:lncRNA from 1 species
GUGCAGUAUCAAGAUAAUUUGUUUCUAGGGAUAUAGAAAUAUAUUCUAAAUAAGGGAAUGGAUCUAAUCACUGAGAAGCUCCGUGUUUUUCAGAUGAGGAGAAGUGAUAACAGAACAUGGAGAAAUCUUUUGUCCUCUGAGAAACCACGUCUGCUCUUUCACCAAAAGCUAAAACCGCCUGUUCCAGCGAUAGGGACGCACCAAAUCUGUC